rnacentral:rRNA from 1 species
GACGAACGCUGGCGGCGCGCCUAACACAUGCAAGUCGAACGAGCGAAAGAGAGCUUGCUUUCUCGAGCGAGUGGCGAACGGGUGAGUAACGCGUGAGGAACCUGCCUCAAAGAGGGGGACAACAGUUGGAAACGACUGCUAAUACCGCAUAAGCCCACGACCCGGCAUCGGGUUGAGGGAAAAGGAGCAAUCCGCUUUGAGAUGGCCUCGCGUCCGAUUAGCUGGUUGGUGAGGUAACGGCCCACCAAGGCAACGAUCGGUAGCCGGACUGAGAGGUUGAACGGCCACAUUGGGACUGAGACACGGCCCAGACUCCUACGGGAGGCAGCAGUGGGGAAUAUUGCACAAUGGGGGAAACCCUGAUGCAGCGACGCCGCGUGGAGGAAGAAGGUCUUCGGAUUGUAAACUCCUGUUGUUGAGGAAGAUAAUGACGGUACUCAACAAGGAAGUGAUGGCUAACUACGUGCCAGCAGCCGCGGUAAAACGUAGGUCACAAGCGUUGUCCGGAAUUACUGGGUGUAAAGGGAGCGCAGGCGGGAAGACAAGUUGGAAGUGAAAUCUAUGGGCUCAACCCAUAAACUGCUUUCAAAACUGUUUUUCUUGAGUAGUGCAGAGGUAGGCGGAAUUCCCGGUGUAGCGGUGGAAUGCGUAGAUAUCGGGAGGAACACCAGUGGCGAAGGCGGCCUACUGGGCACCAACUGACGCUGAGGCUCGAAAGUGUGGGUAGCAAACAGG